rfam:Colius striatus contig24788, whole genome shotgun sequence.
GCUGUGAUGACUUUCUUUUUGUUGAUCAUCUGAAAUGAUGUUUCUUUUAUGUCCUCUAAGAAGUCCUGAGCUU